AGUGAACGCUGGCGGUAGGCCUAACACAUGCAAGUCGAACGGCAGCACAGUAAGAGCUUGCUCUUACGGGUGGCGAGUGGCGGACGGGUGAGGAAUACAUCGGAAUCUACUUUUUCGUGGGGGAUAACGUAGGGAAACUUACGCUAAUACCGCAUACGACCUACGGGUGAAAGCAGUGGAUCUUCGGACCUUGCGCGAUUGAAUGAGCCGAUGUCGGAUUAGCUAGUUGGCGGGGUAAAUGCCCACCGAGGCGACGAUCCGUGGCUGGUGUGAGAGGAUGAUCAGCCACAUUGGAACUGGGACACGGUCCAGACUCCUAAGGGAGGCAGCAGUGGGGAAUAUUGGACAAUGGGCGCAAGCAUGAUCCAGCCAUACCGCGUGGGUGAAGAAGGCCUUCGGGUUGUAAAGCCCUUUUGUUGGGAAAGAAAAGCAGCAGGUUAAUACCCCGCUGUUCUGACGGUACCCAAAGAAGAAGCACCGGCUAACUUCGUG
rnacentral:rRNA from 1 species